AGCCAUGCCGCGUGAAGGAUGACGGCCCUAUGGGUUGUAAACUUCUUUUAUAUGGGAAGAAACUUGUCUACGUGUAGACAACUGACGGUACUAUACGAAUAAGGAUCGGCUAACUCCGUGCCAGCAGCCGCGGUAAUACGGAGGAUCCAAGCGUUAUCCGGAUUCAUUGGGUUUAAAGGGUCCGUAGGCGGAUCUUUAAGUCAGUGGUGAAAGCCGACAGCUCAACUGUCGAACUGCCAUUGAUACUGGAAACCUUGAGUACAAAUGAAGUAGGCGGAAUGAGUCAUGUAGCGGUGAAAUGCAUAGAUAUGACUCAGAACACCGAUUGCGAAGGCAGCUUACUAACAUGUAACUGACGCUGAGGGACGAAAGCGUGGGGAGCGAACAGGAUUAGAUACCCUGGUAGUCCACGCCGUAAACGAUCAUCACUCGCUGUUGGCGAUAUACUGUCAGCGGCCAAGCGAAAGUA
rnacentral:rRNA from 1 species